rnacentral:rRNA from 1 species
UACGAAGGGGACUAGCGUUGCUCGGAAUCACUGGGCGUAAAGGGUGCGUAGGCGGGUCUUUUAAGUCAGGGGUGAAAUCCUGGAGCUCAACUCCAGAACUGCCUUUGAUACUGAAGAUCUUGAGUUCGGGAGAGGUGAGUGGAACUGCGAGUGUAGAGGUGAAAUUCGUAGAUAUUCGCAAGAACACCAGUGGCGAAGGCGGCUCACUGGCCCGAGUACUGACGCUGAGGCACGAAAGCGUGGGGAGCAAACAGG